GACGAACGCUGGCGGCGUGCUUAACACAUGCAAGUCGAACGGUAAGGCCCUUCGGGAUACACGAGUGGCGAACGGGUGAGUAACACGUGGGUGAUCUGCCCUGCACUUCGGGAUAAGCCUGGGAAACUGGGUCUAAUACCGGAUAGGACCACUGCCUGCAUGGGUGGUGGUGGAAAGCUUUUGCGGUGUGGGAUGGGCCCGCGGCCUAUCAGCUUGUUGGUGGGGUGAUGGCCUACCAAGGCGACGACGGGUAGCCGGCCUGAGAGGGUGACCGGCCACACUGGGACUGAGCUACGGCCCAGACUCCUGCGAGAGGCAGCAGUGGGGAAGAGUGCACAAUGGGCGCAAGCCUGAUGCAGCGACGCCGCGGGAGGGAUGACGGCCUUCGGGUUGUAAACCUCUUUCAGCACCGACGAAGCGCAAGUGACGGUAGGUGCAGAAGAAGGACCGGCCAACUACGUGCCAGCCGCCGCGGUAA
rnacentral:rRNA from 1 species